UUUGCUGGGCAAAUUAUUGCACGCGCGCCGAUCGGUCGCUCCGCGGGAUUCAUGGCAUUGGCGCGCGAUAGCUCGCCCCAUUGUGAGCCGGUUUCUUGCCGGUAUAUCGCCGUACAUCUUCUCACAAGAAAAUUAUCGCGCGCCCGAGUUCUUGACCUUACUUGAACGCCUGCCAAUAUUAUCCGUUCUCAAUCUUUAAAUAACGUGCAUCUUUACCUGCGAAGAAGACAAGCCAACCCAGAUGCCAAUACGUUUUGAAAACAAUUCGCGUAUCGAUCCCUUUGAACAAAUACACGAUAAUACACGAACAAAUACACGGCGACCCUUUUUCGCCUGUUAUUUCAGGUACUCCUCUUUUCAACUCUGAAUGAUCUUACCCACGUUUUUUUCUUUGCGCGAUCGGAUUAUACCAGGUCGUAUUUCAAAGGGAGUCUGCUUAGUCGUGUGUCAAAACAGGCGUAUUUGCCAGAUUCACCGUCGCAAAGAAAAUAUGGCAAAUCUUUUCCUUGUUUUGUAAACGUUUGCAAUUUAAUAAAAUGUUGCAAUCCAUGUCUAGGAUUUAAUUUACUUUUUCAAUUUAUUAUUGUCCUUGUCAAAUUAGAUUAUUUUUUGCAAUUUGCUAAAUCAAUUACUCGCUGUAUGCGUGACAUAGAGAUGAAUGUGAAUGUUCGCUCAAUGAAAUGAGCUCAAAUUUAUCGAUCUGCUAAGCCCAAAUAUUUAUAUACUCUAUGGAAUGGCAAAUUUUUAAACAAAAAUAAUAAUUAUUUCAAAACCGCACUUUUCGAAACGAAGAAACAAUUGUUAUAUAAAUAAAUGAAACUUUCCUAUAUAUAUAUCUCAACCUUAUAUAACAGAAAAAAUUAUAGAAUAAAAGCCAAAUAUUACACAACCGACGAAAGGUGAGGUCAAUUAAAAUCGUAUUAUUAUUAUUAUUUUAAAGCAAUCAUGUUUAACAGUUAGAACGAUGAAGACGAUCGCAGGGUCAUUAUCCACGUCUGUGAUAACGACGCUACCAGAUCGCUUCUUUUUGAAUCGGGGACCGGAAAGGGUACGGAGAAAAAGAACGAACGGUCGACCUCGUUUCUCGUUGCCAUCCUUCCUCAUCAUAUACCGGAAUGAAAUUGCCCGCGGAAGGCCGGCGGAAGGCCGACCCGUAGACUUUCUGAGGUUAACCGUGCCGCCUGUUAAUGGUCAGAGCCACGAAAGCCGACCGUAUUUUAAAGUCGCCAGUAGUCAGGCAGCGAACUCUUUUGCGGCGUCGAUUAACUUCAGCGAGAGCGCCGAAACGAAGACAUGAGAAUAAGAGAAAAAGGGAGCUCACGUUUUUACUCACGUUUCUUAAGAGACGCAGAAGACCGGAUAAUUGAGGGAUCUCUCUACAUUCACACCGAAUUUAUCGCGCUGAAGUAGCUUAAGGCAAGGAUACAGAAGUUUGUAAAUACAUAAUCACAGUCUAUAUAAUUCAAUGCUAAAUGCGAUAUUUCCUCUCUCUAGGAAAUACUUGUAUCACAUAGCGAUUCUCAUUAAUCUAUAUAUUUUUCACUUUCACAAAGAAUUUCUGACUGAGAAUUUUUGGAAUUGAUUUUUCUUUUUUUUUCUUUCGAGCUUGAGUCACAAAACAACACUUCGAUUAUAAAAUCCGAAAGUUUUGAUAAAGAAUAUAUCCUAUAUAAGAUCAACAUCUUUUUUUAUGUUAUCCCGUUAACGUAUCGUUUAAAAAAGCGAUCGAUAUACGAGUGAUUUUCGAGUGCCGAUUCUUUAUCUAUUCGCUCUCAUCCCACGGAUUCCUGCGGCGCGAAAGAAAGUUUAUUGGAGAUCGCGGUGAUGAGAAUACACCGCGAUAAUGCGAUAUUUCAUCACGGACGUGGACGAGCUGAACGAAGUCGCGGACCUCCCGCAUCGAAAGCGCCGAAUGAUCUCCCGAGAGCAGCUCCCGGUUAUUGAAUGUCGAACGCGAAGGAGCGAACGAUCGAUCGCGUGACGAGGCGAAAAAGAAUCGAGCGCGCGCUAUCUAGAUGAAGUUCAUUAGAACGUGCGCUCCGAAGUCGAACACGUUAAAGUCGUUUGCGUUACCGACACUAGUCCGUCCGUCAAGCGUGAACGAACCCGAGGAAAGGCCCGCCUCAGUUAAAAAAAAAAA
rnacentral:lncRNA from 1 species